AGCGAACGCUGGCGGCAGGCCUAACACAUGCAAGUCGAACGGACCCUUCGGGGUUAGUGGCGGACGGGUGAGUAACACAUGGGAACGUGCCUUUAGGUUCGGAAUAGCUCCUGGAAACGGGUGGUAAUGCCGAAUGUGCCCUUCGGGGGAAAGAUUUAUCGCCUUUAGAGCGGCCCGCGUCUGAUUAGCUAGUUGGUGAGGUAAAGGCUCACCAAGGCGACGAUCAGUAGCUGGUCUGAGAGGAUGACCAGCCACAUUGGGACUGAGACACGGCCCAAACUCCGACGGGAGGCAGCAGUGGGGAAGCUUGCGCAAUGGGCGAAAGCCUGACGCAGCCAUGCCGCGUGAAUGAUGAAGGUCUUAGGAUUGUAAAAUUCUUUCACCGGGGACGAUAAUGACGGUACCCGGAGAAGAAGCCCCGGCUAACUUCGUGCCAGCCGCCGCCGUAAAAC
rnacentral:rRNA from 1 species